AUUGAACGCUGGCGGCAUGCCUUACACAUGCAAGUCGAACGGUAACAGGUCUUCGGAUGCUGACGAGUGGCGAACGGGUGAGUAAUACGUCGGAACGUGCCUAGUAGUGGGGGAUAACUACUCGAAAGAGUGGCUAAUACCGCAUGAGAUCUACGGAUGAAAGCAGGGGAUCGCAAGAACUUGUGCUACUAGAGCGGCCGAUGGCAGAUUAGGUAGCUGGUGGGAUAAAAGCUUACCAAGCCGACGAUCUGUAGCUGGUCUGAGAGGACGAUCAGCCACACUGGGACUGGGACACGGCCCAGACUCCUACGGGAGGCAGCAGUGGGGAAUUUUGGACAAUGGGCGCAAGCCUGAUCCAGCAAUGCCGCGUGCAGGAUGAAGGCCUUCGGGUUGUAAACUGCUUUUGUACGGAACGAAAAGCCCUGGGUUAAUACCCUGGGGUCAUGACGGUACCGUAAGAAUAAGCACCGGCUAACUACGUGCCAGCCGCCGCGGUAA
rnacentral:rRNA from 1 species